UCUAAAAUGACAGAAAGAUGUGUAAGACUUAAAAUCUUAUUAGGAAAAUUAAUUUUUCUUUUAGAA
rnacentral:tRNA from 1 species